GACGAACGCUGGCGGCGUGCUUAACACAUGCAAGUCGAACGGAAAGGCCCUGCUUUUGUGGGGUGCUCGAGUGGCGAACGGGUGAGUAACACGUGAGUAACCUGCCCUUGACUUUGGGAUAACUUCAGGAAACUGGGGCUAAUACCGGAUAGGAGCUCCUGCUGCAUGGUGGGGGUUGGAAAGUUUCGGCGGUUGGGGAUGGACUCGCGGCUUAUCAGCUUGUUGGUGGGGUAGUGGCUUACCCAGGCUUUGACGGGUAGCCGGCCUGGGAGGGUGACCGGCCACAUGGGGCCUGGGAUAGGGCCCAGACCCUUACGGGAGCAAGAGGGGGGGAAUUUGGACAAAGGGGCGGAGCCGGAAGCGAGAACCGCCGGGGCGGGAAUACCGCCUUUGGGGUGGAAACCGCUUUCGCCUGUGACGAAGCGUGAGUGACGGUAAUGGGUAAAGAAGCACCGGCUAACUACGUG
rnacentral:rRNA from 1 species